rnacentral:rRNA from 1 species
UACAGAGGUCCCAAGCGUUGUUCGGAUUCACUGGGCGUAAAGGGUGCGUAGGCGGUCGGGUAAGUCUGAUGUGAAAUCUCACAGCUUAACUGUGAAACUGCAUUGGAUACUAUCCGGCUCGAGGAAUGGAGGGGAGACUGGAAUACUUGGUGUAGCAGUGAAAUGCGUAGAUAUCAGGAGGAACACCUGUGGUGUAGACAGCUUACUGGACCACUUCUGACGCUGAGACACGAAAGCGUGGGUAGCAAACAGG